rnacentral:rRNA from 1 species
AUUGAACGCUGGCGGCAGGCCUAACACAUGCAAGUCGAGCGGUUGACGGGAGCUUGCUCCCUGAUUCAGCGGCGGACGGGCGAGUAAUGCCUAGGAAUCUGCCUAUUAGUGGGGGACAACGUUUCGAAAGGAACGCUAAUACCGCAUACGUCCUACGGGAGAAAGCAGGGGACCUUCGGGCCUUGCGCUAAUAGAUGAGCCUAGGUCGGAUUAGCUUGUUGGUGAGGUAAUGGCUCACCAAGGCGACGAUCCGUAACUGGUCUGAGAGGAUGAUCAGUCACACUGGAACUGAGACACGGUCCAGACUCCUACGGGAGGCAGCAGUGGGGAAUAUUGGACAAUGGGCGAAAGCCUGAUCCAGCCAUGCCGCGUGUGUGAAGAGGGUCUUCGGAUUGUAAAGCACUUUAAGUUGGGAGGAAGGGUUGUAGAUUAAUACUCUGCAAUUUUGACGUUACCGACAGAAUAAGCACCGGCUAACUCUGUGCCAGCCGCCGCCGUAAAAC